GAACAUAAUUUUCUCGAUAAGAAAAUGGAAGAUAUUGGAGCCGACAAACGUUCGAGAGGAAGAGAGAUGUUGUUGGAAAAAACACAACAAGGAUGGAAAGAGUGGAAGCGCUACAUGGUUCAAUCACGGUUAGAUGCACCAGAUGACUUGCAUCUUCCCUUAUUACCGCUUCAGGCACUGUUUUCAAAGCUACAACAGUUGGCCACCAUUGCUGGCUGACAGAGAGUGAUAAUCUGGCUGUCAAACGAGGAGGAGUUUUGGAGUGCGUUUGAGGACGAGUCAGCCAUCUGGUUUGCAACCGUGGAGAUAGCCAGGUUCGCGGGUAUCCAUUUAAAGUGGUACAGAACCAUGCAUCAGUGGUGAUCAAUAGAGCCAUCAACAUAUUCUCCUCAAGAGGCAUCAACCCACAAAGCUCGCUCCCGAAGGCGGAGUGGUUCACGGAAGCAGCCAAGUCAGCUAUCAACUGUUGUGAAUGAGCCUUCUUUACCUCCUCCUAAUACAGACCCAAGUCCAGAAAGCCUUGGCGCUGCUGCUUCACGUCCUCUUCGGCAGGGUAACGGUUCUGGUGGUCCCUAUUUAUAACCAGCAGCAAAGGAGUAAUGUUGCUGGUCCGCCUCCACCUAAUCGACAAAACGGAAAUAAUGCUCCGGGGAAUUUUGCAUAACUGAAAGUAUGUUCAUGUUCUUCAAAUGCUUUAGUGUCCUCAUUUGGAGAAGGCCAUUCACUCACUUCACCUUACUUUAGAACUGAGUGAAGUUAUUUGGCAGUGGUGGUGUUUAGAGUUGCGUGGGUUUUCAAGAGAGGGACUGUACAAGAGAAGACUUUCUGGCUUGUUUGAUAGUGGGUGUGCUGAUUGGGUUGUGGUUAAGAGCAAGAGAACUGGAUCUUCUUGAUAAAGAUGUUAGAAAAAAGAGGAGAAAUGAAUAACCGAUUUUACAUGAAGUUAUGAAUCUUCAUUGGCUGAAGGAAAGAGAUAAUGUAUUGGUACAUAUGAAGAGUCAUCUGCUACUAGGUUGGGUACAACGAAAGCUUAGAAGACUUGGCUACAGUCAAUGGAGUUGGACCAUCAGUUUUCAAAGGAUAACCUUGUGGGCAAGAGAAAAAUACAAUGGACAACUUGAGGUGGAAAGAGUUUAGUGGAAAGGAUGGGGUUUUGACAAAAACACUCAAGGCACGCAUUGGUAUGGAACGUACACGAAGAGAGUUUCUGUGCAGCUCCUCACUUGCAUUGAAGAUGCAUAGUAGUGUCGAUGCUACCAACGAUGGAGAGAGUGUUGUAUAUGAGGAAGAGAAAGUGCAGCCUGAGUCCAGGAGCAGCUUCACUUUUAAAGAAAGAUUUACAGCUGAAAGUAACAUCGAGAGAAGAUCUAACUAGAGGGUUAGAAAAGACGAGUACAUUACUUCUUAAGGAGGAGCAGUUAACUCUGCAACCAAUUAAUAGUUUGUAGUUUAAAUCAAGAACGUUCAUGUAACCCGUUUCAAAAUGGCAUAAAAUUUAUAAACUGCUAUGAGUUGAUCCUCCAAAAAAUAAUUACAACAUAUAAGUCAAACAUGACAUGUGUUCGCUUAACACACCUCAUUGGCUGCAGUAAGUGAGAGUUACAGAAAUGGUCACAUCACAAGGGCAAAGCUACAAUGAGUGAGUGCUAACAGGAAAAUUAUUGACAAGAUGCAGAUUAUAUCUCUGUCAAAGAUGAGUACUGACUUGAGAAGCUUAACCAUGAUACGAGCCGCACCAAGAACAACUAGACGGAAAUCCCUUUUCACUACAGCAUACUUGUGCAAUACAGUGACUUGAAUAUAAGCAAUGGCAGCAGCCAAAAAUCAGAAUUCAAGACCAUGCAUAGAGACUAAACUCAGUGAAACCACAAGAUUAUAAUGUUAAACAAACUACUACCCCCUAACUGAAAAGAGGCGGAUCACAUUAUAAUGUUCAGCACGUUUUCAAGAUGGAGCAGGAAGAGUACACAAAAGAAGCAAUAGAUUGGAGCUACAUUGAAUUUGUGGACAACAAAGAUGUUCUUGAUCUUAUAGAAAAGAAGCCUGGUGGAAUCAUUGCUCUCCUCGAUGAAGCUUGGUAAUAUUAAAGACUACUUCCAUAGAUCUUUUAUCCUGACUGUUAUUUUGUAAACUAAUGAGACUUAAUUUUUCCAGUAUUUUGACCACAAUAUAUUCAAACUUCACGUUUUAAUUGACCACCAUAGCUGACCAUCAUAUCUGACCACCACGGUUAAUAUGCUUCACCAUUUAGUUUUUAGCAAAAAUUAUUAGCUUAACGUAGUUGACCACUAUAAUUGUAUAGUUCUAUAAAAUAUUAAUGAAAUAUUAAUUAUUGGUAAUAUUUAUACACACGUUAGAAAAUAAUAAUAUAAAACUAUUAAUUUGUAACAAAACAAUUAUUAUGUUACUCUCUAAACAUUUUGAAAACCAAACCAAGAUCGACUCAGUAUAUAUAUUGGUUGACUGGUCUGACCAGUUUAACCCGUUUAACGGGUUUUUAAAUUUUUAUUGUAUAUUAUAUAUGUAUAUAUACCAUAUGCUUUAAGAAGAAAAAAGGAAAAUUUGAAAGAAAUCAAAUGCAAACUCGUAUCUUUUGUUAAUGCAGAUUGGUAAAACAAAAAUCUUCUUGAGGGCUGGUCAGAUGGCUGAACUCGACGCUAGGAGGACAGAAGUGCUUAGUGGUGCUGCAAAAAAAAUUCAGAGACAAACAAGAACUCAUCAAGCUCAGAAACGGCUUACUGUUCUGAGAAAGGCCACAAUAUCUCUACAAGCUCUAUGUAGAGUUAAGCCAUCUGAUUUCAAUCGCUCUCUUUGGGAAAGGCUGAAGCAUCGGAGUGCCAUGUGGGCGCUGCUGGUAAGUCGCACUAUUAAGGCUCAGAGGAGGAGCAGAAGGCAUAGAUGAACCAGGAAUGAGGUGUGGUUGUGCCAUCAUCCGUGGGGGCCCAGAGAAAGAGGAAGGGGUCAUCAGAUCUGUAUAAACAUUGGAGUUGCUACUGAUACGAUCAGGAUUGUUGUCAAAAAGAGGCAUUAGAGGAGAGGAGGAUGGUAUAGGCGGUGGUGAUAAUAUUUGUGGAGGUGCAGCUGCCGUAGGGGCAGUGGUGGGUUGAUGAGGUUGUAGAUGAUUUGCUGAUGACAUGUAUGGUGGUCCAGUUGCCGAUCCAGCCGAAGUGUUCCCAAGAGACAUCGCCUAUGUAAACCAACCUCUGCUUCCUACUGAGGAUCUAAACCAAUUUGAAGGUCAUUGUUAGUUGUUACAGAUCACUACUUACAGAUAAAACCAUGUACCAUUACAGGAAAUAAGGGUAGUAAUAGCAGACUGAAAACACUAUGAGUCAUAUAUAAUAGCGUUUCCUUAGCCGCUCUGACAGCGCCCGUUAUAAUAGGUCCGACAUUUUUAAUAGCGAUUUUUGUUUAUGCUAUAGUUAACCAUACAACGAUAGCAAAUGUUUCGUGUCAUUAAUUUAUUUUUUAAUUAUCUGAAAAUUUAUUAAAAAUAAUUACUAAAAAACAAUUUUUUAAAAAAUACACCUAAAUGUAAUUCAUAAUUAAAUAAUUCAAAUGAAAUCAAAAGUUAAUUCAUAAUUAAAAAUUAAAUUUUAUUUAUUAAUUAAAAUCAGUAUACAAGUAAUUAAAAAACGAAUUAAACCAAAAACAAAUUAAAACAUUAAACAAAAAAAUAAUUAACCAAAACAUAAUUAACCUAAACCUAAUCUAAGCCUCUGCCUGUCGACAAAAAAAAAAUCUAAGCCUCUGCCUACAACCCUAGUUCCUCCGCCUCUAGCCUCCAGC